rnacentral:rRNA from 1 species
CCUACGGGAGGCUGCAGUAGGGAAUAUUGCUCAAUGGGGGAAACCCUGAAGCAGCAACGCCGCGUGGAGGAUGAAGGCUUUCGGGUUGUAAACUCCUUUUGUUAGAGAAGAUAAUGACGGUAUCUAACGAAUAAGCACCGGCUCACUCCGUGCCAGCAGCCGCGGUAAUACGGAGGGUGCAAGCGUUACCCGGAAUCACUGGGCGUAAAGGGCGCGUAGGCGGGAUAGCAAGUCAGAUGUGAAAUACUAGGGCUUAAACAUAGUACUGCAUUUGAAACUGUUAUUCUAGAGUAUGCGAGAGGUAGGUGGAAUGCGUGGUGUAGCGGUAAAAUGCGUAGAGAUCAAGAAGAAUACUGAUUGCGAAGGCGACAUGCUGGAGCAUAACUGACGCUGAGGCGCGAAAGCGUGGGGAGCAAACAGGAUUAGAUACCCGUGUAGUC